rnacentral:rRNA from 1 species
AACGAACGCUGGCGGCAUGCCUAACACAUGCAAGUCGAACGGGAUCCUAGCUCGCUAGGUGAGAGUGGCGGACGGGUGAGUAACGCGUGGGAAUCUGCCUUUUGGUUCGGGAUAACCGCGGGAAACUGCGGCUAAUACCGGAUGCACCCGCGAGGGGAAAGAUUUAUCGCCAGAAGAGGAGGCCGCGUCCGAUUAGGUAGUUGGUGAGGUAAUGGCUCACCAAGCCGACGAUCGGUAGCUGGUCUGAGAGGAUGAUCAGCCACACUGGGACUGAGAUACGGCCCAGACUCCUACGGGAGGCAGCAGUGGGGAAUAUUGGACAAUGGGGGCAACCCUGAUCCAGCAAUGCCGCGUGAGUGAUGAAGGCCUUAGGGUUGUAAAGCUCUUUUGCCAGGGAAGAUGAUGACUGUACCUGGAGAAUAAGCCCCGGCUAACUUCGUGCCAGCAGCCGCCGCGGUAA